ACAAUGUUUGGUUCUGGCUUAUGUAUAAUAAAGGCAAGAAAAUACACAUGGUAUUUAUAGACAAAAGUGAGUGAAAUUUAAAUUAAAUCUAGAUUCAAUAUUUCACCCUAAUUUAAAUUUCAAGUAUUAUUAUAAAAUAAAUGCUUAGAAAGUCCCACUAACACCAGUGUCAAAGAUUGAAAAAAAGCGAAAGCUUGCUUCAGACAAGCCAAAAAGUUUGGUCAACUUGGUGCCAGCAUCCGCGGUUAGACCAAGAAACUAAAUUAUAUUUUUCGGUAAAAAGAUGGUUAAAUAAACAUAAUAAGUUUUAAAGUUUUUAUACGUAAGUAAAAUUUAAAUAUAAAAGUUAAAACCACAAAAAAAUUAAAAAUUGAAGCCAUAAAAAUCCUGAGGGAAACUGGGAUUAGAUACCCCACUAUUCUUGAAUAUAAACUUAUAUUACCCGGGAACUACAAAUAUUAUUAUUUAAAACCCAAAGAACUUGGCGGUGUUUUAGACUACUUAGGGGAACCUGUUUCAUAAUCGAUAAUCCACGAAAUACCUAACCUUUUUUUGCAAUCAGUAUGUAUACCGUUGUCGUCAGGUAACUUUUAAAAACAAAGAAGUUAGCAAUAAAUAUUUUAACUUUAACGUCAAAUCAAGGUGCAACCAAUAAAAAGGUGAAAAUGGGUUACAAUUAUAAUUCAUAAUAUGAAUUGAGAUUUUAAAACCCUUAUGAAGGAGGACUUAAAAGUAAAAAAAUAAUCAUAAAAAUUUCUUGAAUCCAGCUCUGAAACGUGCACACAUCGCCCGUCGCUCUCGUUGAAAAAUGAGAUAAGUCGUAACACAGUAAGGGUAAUGGAAAUUGCCCUUAGAUG
rnacentral:ncRNA from 1 species